AUUUAAUUAGUUUAAAAUAAAAUAUUGAUUUGUGGGAUCAAAGUUAUAUGAAAUAUAUGUUAAAUA
rnacentral:tRNA from 1 species